rnacentral:rRNA from 1 species
AGUGAACGCUGGCGGUAGGCCUAACACAUGCAAGUCCAACGGCAGCACAGUAAGAGCUUGCUCUUACGGGUGGCGAGUGGCGGACGGGUGAGGAAUACAUCGGAAUCUACUUUUUCGUGGGGGAUAACGUAGGGAAACUUACGCUAAUACCGCAUACGACCUACGGGUGAAAGCAGGGGAUCUUCGGACCUUGCGCGAUUGAAUGAGCCGAUGUCGGAUUAGCUAGUUGGCGGGGUAAAGGCCCACCAAGGCGACGAUCCGUAGCUCGUCUGAGAGGAUGACCAGCCACACUGGAACAGAGACACGGUCCAGACUCCUAAGGGAGGCAGCAGUGGGGAAUAUUGGACAAUGGGCGCAAGCCUGAUCCAGCCAUACCGCGUGGGUGAAGAAGGCCUUCGGGUUGUAGAGCCCUUUUGUUGGGAAAGAAAAGCAGCAGGUUAAUACCCCGCUGUUCUGACGGUACCCAAAGAAUAAGCACCGGCUAACUUCGUG